rnacentral:rRNA from 1 species
AUUGAACGCUGGCGGCAGGCCUAACACAUGCAAGUCGAGCGAGCGGCGGACGGGUGAGUAAUGCCUGGGAAUUGUCCAGUAGGGGGGGAUAAACGUUGGACACGACUGCUAAUCCCGCAUCCGAAUCGAUUGCACAGGUGGGAUUAGCUAGUUGGUGAGGUAAUGGCUCACCACGGCGACGAUCCCUCGCUGGUCUGAGAGGAUGAUCAGCCACACUGGAACUGAGACACGGUCCAGACUCCUACGGGAGGCAGCAGUGGGGAAUAUUGCACAAUGGGGGAAAGCCUGAUGCAGCCAUGCCGCGUGUUUGAAGAAGGCCUCCGGGUUGUAAAGCACUUUCAGCGAGGAGGCGUUACUCGCAGAAGAAGCACCGGCUAACUCCGUGCCAGCAGCCGCGGUAAUAC